GCUCCGGCAUUUCUCGAAAAAUAAAAAUAAAAAAAUAAAUUUGUGCGCUCCGGCUCUUCUCGCGACGGGCCUUCUCCUCCUUCGCCGUCUUCCAACCAACUCCUCCACCCCUGUCCCAAUCCCAAAACCUCGCGGGCUCAUUGCAGCACACCUGCGCUGCGCGAGAUGUUCCCCGCAGGCGACCACCUCCUCCUUUUCGCGCUCGCUUCCCUCGGGGGCGCAGCGGCGGCCGGCGCCGGCGAGGGGUUCUGCUCGGCGGAACCGUCAAACGAUUGUUCUCAGUCGCCGCCGCUCUACUCGAAGGUCACCAGUCCCACUCUCGCACCCGUGCAUUUGCAAGAUUUACCUGGCUUCACACGUAGUGUGUACAAAAAGGAUCAUGCUUUAAUAACACCAGAAAGCCAUGUAUUCAGUCCUUUGCCUGAUUGGACCAACACGUUAGGAGCAUAUUUGAUUAGCCCAGCUCUUGGUGCACACUUCACUAUGUACUUGGCAAACAUGCAAGAUGGAUCAAAAUCAGCCUUACCACCGAAAGAUGUUGAAAGGCUUAUCUUUGUAGUUCAAGGCAGCAUUGCAUUGUCUGUGGAGAGCGGAACAACCCACUCCCUGUUGGUAGACUCUUAUGCUUAUCUUCCUGCAAACAUGAAGCACUCUGUGAUAUCAGACAAACCAAGCACUCUUGUAAUCUUUGAGAGGAGGUACACAGCCGUUGGGGAUUACCAUGCUGAUCUAGUUGUUGGUUCAACAGAUAAGCAACCCCUCCUUGAAACCCCAGGAGAGGUAUUUGAGCUGAGGAAGCUGCUACCCACCUCUCUUCCUUAUGACUUUAAUAUUCAUAUAAUGGACUUUCAGCCAGGCGAGUAUCUCAAUGUGAAGGAGGUUCAUUACAAUCAACAUGGGCUGCUGCUUUUAGAGGGACAAGGAAUAUAUCGAUUGGGAAAUAGCUGGAGGAGCAGAUGAAAUUGGUGCAGUUUCUUCAGGCAGAACUGAUGCAGUUGCCCUGGCAUGUUUAGAUUCUUCAGGCGCAGCUACAGAUGCUUCAGCUGGCCUGGGUUGUUCUUCAGGCGCAACAUGGGAGGUUGCCCUGACAAUUUCUUCAGCAGCCCUGGUAUCCGGUGCAAGCAGGCGAUACCAUUUGGAUGGCGCCAUUUGUGCCUCAAUGGUAUGCUGCCCUUGGUAAAACCAAGUCUAGGUACCUGCUGUACAAAGAUGUCAAUAGGAAUCCACUGAUAUGAGCAAAGGCACUCACUCUUGAUGGAUGGCAGUCGUUCACCAUAGAGAGCUAUGAAGAGUUCUUCUAGAAGAUGGCCUCCAAAAGACAUUGCUCCAACUGCUUGCUGGCGAACUGCACAGAUUCCAGAGAAUCUGUGUAAUAAAAAUAAUAAUAGCAAAUGAGUACUUGGAAAAUUGUGAUCUUCAUGGCUGCCCAUUGGUGCUUGGAGGAUGAUAUGAAAUCUGAUACUUUCCCCCUUUUUCGAGAUUGAACCUUGGAACUUCCAUGUAUUCGUGUCUGGACAGAAAUUGCCGUAGCCGUGGCACUUCAGUAAUCUCGACUGGCUAAUCCGUUGAAAGAAGUUAAAUGCAUGCAUUGAUGUAAAGAAGAGGAACAACUGUCACUUGAUUCACUCGAUGAAAUAGUGGAUGUGCAAACCCACUGCGCAUGUUAUGUCUUUAA